rnacentral:lncRNA from 1 species
GUCCGCGCGCGCGGGGCGGCCGCGGCGGUGAGCCUGCGCGUCAGGGCCGCCGGCCUCUCCUUGGCUGUUGGAGAGCCAUAGAAUACCUGUUUCAGAGCUGAAGGGGACCUGAGCCCAUGAUAAUCCAUUACCUCGUGAGAAAGCGGAAAAACUGACUUCAGCUUGCCCAGAUGGCGCAGAGAAUGGGUUUCCCGUAACCCCGCCUGUGUCUUUCCUUCAGCCUCGUCCCAAAUGCCGUGGGAGGGAAGGCACUCUCUGUCAAGCUGCUGUCACCUUACCUGAAGUAAGGAGUCCACGCCUGCAUGUCCGAGGAAAACAGUUUUCUCAAACACAUUAGUUGAAAAACUGAAGACGCUGCCUAAAAUACAAGCUGAGUUAGAGACAGCCCUUGUAAGACUAGGCCUUCAGGGGAGUCUAGAACUAUGCCACUGACUCUCCUGGUCUCCAGUUUUUCAACUUCAAAUCUUGGGAUUUAGUCUCGAUGAUCAUAAAAAGAAAUGGAAACUAAGUAACAUGAAUUAACAUAGUCCAGGGUCACAAAGCAACAUGGAACAAGAACCUGGAUCUGAAUUCAGAGGCAGAAUGCUGGGCCUGAGAAUCAGGAGAGUCAAUGGUAUUAGUGCUUGUCCGGAAGCCAUCAUGCUUCAAAACCAAGAAGAGCUGAUUUUCCAGUUGGAGUCUAAAG